rnacentral:sRNA from 1 species
UUUCUUUAUAUACCAAAAAAUAAAAAAAAAUAAUAAUUUAUCGAGGAGAUCAUUUAUCCUGAAUAGGCUUUUCAAAAUAAGUUGAUGUUUCCGCCAUCGAAGAUUCAAGAAUCCAACUGCCGUUUGUUUCAAUGGCAAUGCUUCCCUGCAUAGCAGCACGGCGAAGCUUCUUGCUCGCCCGUCUUCUGCGCCCCGUCUGCGUUUCCCAUUCCCAACCCUCCUUGAGCCACAUCCAGGUCAAGAAUCCGCGGAGCUCCUUAUCCUUGGGAACCACUGAUUUCCAUUCAGGCACGAAUCCAUCAGGCGCCUCUGCGCCCUCCCAGUCCCUCGCCAAGCCCCUCAGCUCAUCACGACAAAAUAUCCUCCAGCUAUCAAGGGCAUACGAACCUAGGCCGGGGAGAUGAGCGAUCUCCCAGGCGACUCGGGUGUCAUCAUCACCCACGCAUUCUCCAGGUUUGACAUCACGCCCAUCGCCUUUGUUGGGAUAAUGGAGCUUCCUGUACCUUUUUCCUUUGAUGGGGGGAUUUUCAACCCAGAGCUUUGCGAGGGCAAUACAUUUGCGGGCACGGGCAUUCUGGAAACCCAGACAAUGGAUCAUCCCGACAACAUCCUCUUCCUGCGCUUCUGCGAGGGCCGCGACGGUCGGAUAUCUCUCAAAAACGCUGUAUAGAACCGGUAUCGCAACCUCGCCACGGGUUCGAUUAAGGAAGAUUGUUGCGAUCAACAGUCGGAAGGGGUCGUGAGCGAGCUUCUCUUGGAUCAAGCCGAAGGAUCGGGCUGAUAUUGGUGGGAAUGGGAGACAAGAGGCGGCAUUCCGACGCUUCUGGGGGAAGUACGGGGACUUCUUAGGCUGUUUGGCCAUAUAUCGUUCCUCAGAGAUUCCAAGGCUGUCUGUCUGUCCUGUCUGUCCGGAUUUAACCUUUAACUAUGUAUGUACAUGUACUUUCUGGCUCAAAGGGUCUGGAUUUGGGGCCCAUAUCACGUGGCCAGCAUAAAGUUCCAGAUUCAACCGGUACUCCGUUUUGUUCGGCUGCGUUGCACCAAAGCCCAGAAAACAUUGGAACCCGCAAGACUAACGCUCUCAACGAACCAGGGCCUCCUUCCCUUCGCAGGCAUAAGCGCCGCGGGAAACUCUAAAGUUUUAGAGCGAGAGAACCCUAAACCUAGUUCUGAAAAGGCCUGUGAACCGUGCCACAGUGGCUGACGUUCCAGCUGCAACAUCGUCCCCCUAGUUGGUUUUAUAUAGAUCUGAUAAUAGAGAGAAAAAAAUUUUUUUUUUUAAUAUUGAUAUAAAUGGAC